CUGCCUGUUCUUGCCUACAUUCCACCCAACAAUAAACACGGGUAUAAAAUGUACAGAUGCCACAGUGGAUGUGGUAAAAGCCACCAUCACUGCUGCUAUUGUGUAAGGAUUAUAACCUGACAAAAUGCAGAAAUGUGGGUUAGCUGACCCGUCAACAGGCCCCUGUGCCUCUGCACCCUCCACCCUCUCAGCAGCCUCAAGUGUCUCAGCAGCCUCAAGUGUCUCAGCAGCCUCAAGUGUCUCAGCAGCCUCGUGUCUCCGCAGCCUCCAUCGUUUCCGCAUCCUCCACUGUCUCUGCAGCCUCCAGUCAUUGUCCCUUUGCAGUCAUGUAUCUAGAAUUAAUUUCCUUCAGCUUUUAGAUUUGAAGCACCUCUGAGAGCCACAAGUGAAACUCACUCACUCAGAAUCACAGGUAGUUAUAGGUGCGCUCCACAUAGACAUGCCAGCUUGCCAGUUCUUACAUUCUUUAUCUUAAUCUGAGAUGCGACAAUAACUAGGCCUAUAUAUGCUAUCUGCAGGACACAAAUGUGAAGGCUACAGAACAUGCAAAUAAAGAGUGGUCCUUCGCCUCUGACACUGUCCUUGUUCCAAGAUGAUGAUGGAGACCUAUUAUUGAGCCUACUGAUUUUGUAGUGACUCAUGUUUUAUGUUCUCAGUUGCCUGAGAAAAUUUUGCGCAUGAUCUUCAUCCUUGCGGUGCUACAAGAUGGCGACCCUGCAAUCCAUGCCCUGGCACUCACGUGCACACGUUUCUAGAGGAUAGUGAGAGAGGAAUUAUUUCUGAAAGAAGCACACUUUUGCUGGUUUUACAGUAAGUUUAGUGUUUUCCUUCUGCCCCCUCCCAUCUUUUUAGAUGCAAAGCACCUCUGAGCUAUAGGUGAAAGUUACUCACUCACAGGAUCACAGUAAACUAUAGGUGCAUUCAACUUGAACAUGCCAGCUUGCCGCUUCUUACAUUGCAGCAAGGGCAGAGCAAAGGGUUUGUGGCUGGCAGCUGUAGGCUUCUGGCUUUAAAAUGUUUUUAUUAACCAUCAAAGCCAAACUUAAAAUCAUGUUUGUGCUUCUGCAAGCAUUGUGAUGGUCCAGUGACAGAUUUAACUAUGAUUUAGCUAUAAUACGUGUCGUGGGUCAGGUUGUAAAAAACAGCUUAUAGUGGUCCAGUUUUGGAAUGUACCAAAACAUUUGGGAUACAAACUCUAAUCUGACAUGCAUCUAAAAUACAGCCAAAACUUCUCAGUAUUCACGAUAUUAGCAAAUUGUAUACUGCCAUCAUAUAUGUGAGUGACACUCAUACAGAGUCUUCAUAUCUAAAAAUGCACUGGAACUUCCAGAGGAACUUUGGGCUUGUCAUUCUGUGUCCCGCAUAUGCCAGCAACACAAGUAGAUGGCUCCUGGAGUGUUAACUUGCCAUUAUUAAAAUGUGUCUUGUACAUAGAUGUCAUCUAAUUGAAUGUUUUCUAUACCAGUUUACCACAGUGUUUCCUCUGUAAUUGUUGUGCAGCUGUUAUGAUUCAAGUCAAGGUUCUAGGGCUAAAAUGAUUUUAAUCGUAAUAAAAUCAUUAUGACUAUAUUUUUGUUUUAAAUAAUAAGUACUUAUUUUAAUUUCACAUUUAUCUUGCAGUGGUGGUAAAUUCCUUGCUGUGGUGGUGGCCCACUGCUAAAUGAAUACCAAGGAAACACUGCUACCAGAAAAUUUCACAUUAAAAAAAAAUCUGAACAUACAUUUUACACAUGAACCCUUCCUUUUGUCAUCAGAUGUGGUGAACUGGAACACAUUUUCAGAGUACAGAAGGACCUACAUAACUCUGUAUCUAAUCUGCUGUUGCAUUCAGUGUAAUUCUCUUUACAAAGACUGUGAUGUUUACAGAGGGGAAAACCGCAAGGAUUCUAUUCUGAAAAUGAUCUUGCAAGAUACUGUAGCAUUGACUGUUUUUCUAUUUGAUGUAAUGCUCCAUACAGUCAUGCAACAAUGGAAUCUUGGCUUUGAAUAUUUCACUAUACUAUGGACAUUCACAUGUUCACCAAAUAUCAUAAACUGAAAUCUAAUAUUGUAGGAGCAUCAGUGGGUACAUUUUUUCCUUGAAGAGGUAUCUAAGCUGAGUAACCUGGGAAUUAUUUUUACCUGAUAUAAAUGACAGCAUCAUCACUGUGAUGUAUCUUCAAUGAAGUGCUGCAACCAGCAAGACACAGAAUGUGACCUUUUUAUACAACAAUAUAUGUGGCACUUUCAUACAGUGGAGAAAGUUUUGUAACUUCAAUGUGUGAUUGCAAUUUAUCUUCUUUAUAGAUUAGAAAAGUACCCUACUGUCCACAUAGGGCAUAUUCAUACAGAUAUUCCUGACAGUUGGACAUUCAAGCCAAAUAACACUUUCACUUAUUUAGUAAUCUGCAGUGGAGGAACUCCACACACACUGCUCUGCACAGUUUUGCACCUGAAAAGAAUUUUAGGUAUGCAGACAUCCCAACUCACCAGUACUUGAUGUGGUGAAAUGACAUACAGCAACAUUUUGAUCAAAACAAUAAGCUAUAUUUACAGGGAUCAAUUAUGCACUCAUCACAUGUCUUUUAAGCAGCUGGUGAGCUGGAAACAAGAGGGCAAAAAUGACUGUUUUAAGCCUGUUUCCUUUUGUUUAAUGAUUUUAUGAAUAAUUACCACUACUGCACAUACAUAGAGAAAAACAUUAUUAUAUAAAUAAUGAUUUGAUGAAUAAUUACCACCACUGAACAUACAGUAAAAAAUAUAAAAUGUAUCAUUUUAAUUGUUAUGAUAAACUAUUAUUUGCAAAAAAACUCUCUUCAUUCUUUAUGCAAAUUCUGCAUUUUAAAUGGUCAUUGAACAUCACAUCUUAUUCUUCAAAGUUAAUUUUCAGUUUAAAAUAGGUGAGAAACAGAUGAAAGUCAGAAUGCCCUUCAGGUGUCAUUCACCUUUAAGAAAGAAGUGAGCGUAACUUGAAGAGGCCAUAAUUUGUAGUCUUGCAGACUGCAGACAUAUUCUUUUGAGUUUUGCAGCCACCGUAGUUUCUCCCUCACACUAAGGGGAGGGUGAGGCGAGAAGUACACUGUACAGCACUCACAGUCGCUGAGUUUCAUUUUGGCAUUUUGUCACUGCUGUAGUGAAGAGGAUUUGAAGCAAUAUCAGAUUGUUUCUUUGGAUUCACUGCCACUGAUGUCCUAUUAUAGACGCAAAUGAAUAACUGUUGCUGGUAACAGUUCAGUGUGUGUGUGUGUGUGUGUGAGAGAGAGAAAGAGGGAGAGGGAGAGAGAGAGAGAGAGAGAGAGAGAGAGAGGGUUGAGAGAUAAUUUAUAUUUGUUGUAAUGUGAGGAGGAAAGGUUUUUUUAUGCAUUUGGUGGUUAAUAUUUCUACAGAACAGCAACUCUAAAAUGGAUUUAUAAAUAAUAGAAUAUAUUGAUUAUUCCCUUGUACUGUUUUUAUGUGCAUGUUUCCACAUUAGC